GAUACACUCCCCAAACGAGUCACAAUCCCAAAAAGUAUCAGUGCCAAAAACGUUAGCUAACGUUUUCUAUUUUCGAAAAUCUAAACACUUAUCCAGACUUUCUGUAUAGAGAGUGAUGACAGAACCGAACAUUAUCAAUGAGGAGGAUACCUCGUCCUCUAGUUCGAGCGAUGAUUCUGCCUAUUUCCUGGCUGAGGGGUAUGCCCAAACGGAUGAUGAAUCUGCCACUUGGGGUUCUUACACGGUUGAGUCUGCCGCAAAGAAUGUUAAGGCAGCAGAUGCCAGCACAGGAGACGCAAAGCCAGGAGAUGCUUCAAAGAUUGGCCAAGCGAGCUUCUGGUGCGUUAUAUGCUAAUUGAAUGUUUGAUCUGUUUACUGUUUACACUUUCACACAAGAACAUCGCUUUUACCAGUGUUCAUGCAAGUGCCAAGUUCUGUAGGUUUCGAAACAAUUACAAAUUCAGAGAGAUGAUUAUAUUUCAAAUAAAUAUAAAUGUUAAUCAUUAAUGCAGCUCUAAGUACUACAUAUAUAUGAUUUAUGAAUGAUGCUGAUACUUUUAGUUUUAUCUGCUCUUCCCCUAAAUGAAUCAUGAAAAUUCGUACUUUAUUCUUUUAGAUUUAUCUCUCUUAUUUCCCUUCGAAGUCCCCCCUCUGCAUACAGCAUUUUAUGCACCCCAAAAACUAUAUUUACUCGCAAUUUGAAGCGACGACUGGUCUUUCAUUAAGUCGCUGUGCAAAUCCAAGUCGCUCUGUCUCAUUGAAUAAGUACAAAUCAUGCAGUAAUCAAAUGGGGACUGGUAUGGGGGUACGCAGGAUACGCGGUAGAAUAUAUACUCAUUGGGGAAGCCAUUCUAUUCUGGGCGCUUGUCAUUUAAUAUCCGCAAUUAAAGUGGUAAUCAAUCAAAAUGAACAGGCAGAAAACCUAAAUGAAUUAAAAGCAAACGAAGGAACAAAGCAAAGGAUGAAUGCACAGGACGAACCGGAAUGAGAGUCGCCGCAAACACACAAUAAACAGAAAGGAAGAGAAAGAAAACUGAAGCGCAGCAAAUGAACGGAAAAAACUUACAAAAAAGAAAGAAAAGGCAAAGAAAAGGAAACCAAAAAAACACCAGAACAAACAGCGAGAAACCACAGCGAAUGCACUGAGGGAAUACCCAGAGGCAAAUAAUUAGAAGCGUUAUUUGCUAUUAUGUAAAUCAAAGAUAGAAGACACAAGAGGCAAGAAGUCUCCUUCCUUUGAUUUCCUUUGACAAUAUUGCUUGGCAGGUGACGGGAAAAACAAAUGCAACGAAAUCAAAUUUU